AUCAGGGUCUGGAGGUGUGAACGUAUCAGGGUCUGGAGGUGUGAACGUAUCAGGGUCUGACGGUGUGAACGUAUCAGGGUCUGGCGGUGUGAACGUAUCAGGGUCUGGAGGUGUGAACGUAUCAGGGUCUGACGGUGUGAACGUAUCAGGGUCUGGCGGUGUGAACGUAUCAGGGUCUGGAGGUGUGAACGUAUCAGGGUCUGACGGUGUGAACGUAUCAGGGUCUGGAGGUGUGAACAUAUCAGGGUCUGGAGGUGUGAACGUAUCAGGGUCUGGCGGUGUGAAC